rnacentral:rRNA from 1 species
AACGCUAGCUACAGGCUUAACACAUGCAAGUCGCGGGGUAACGAGAGGGAAGCUUGCUUUCCUUGUCGACGACCGGCGCACGGGUGAGUAACGCGUAUCCAACCUGCCGAUAACUCGGGGAUAGCCUUUCGAAAGAAAGAUUAAUACCCGAUAGUAUAGUAUUUCCGCAUGGUUUCACUAUUAAAGAAUUUCGGUUAUCGAUGGGGAUGCGUUCCAUUAGAUAGUUGGCGGGGUAACGGCCCACCAAGUCGACGAUGGAUAGGGGUUCUGAGAGGAAGGUCCCCCACAUUGGAACUGAGACACGGUCCAAACUCCUACGGGAGGCAGCAGUGAGGAAUAUUGGUCAAUGGACGAGAGUCUGAACCAGCCAAGUAGCGUGAAGGAUGACUGCCCUAUGGGUUGUAAACUUCUUUUAUACGGGAAUAAAGUGGAGUAUGCAUACUCCUUUGUAUGUACCGUAUGAAUAAGGAUCGGCUAACUCCGUGCCAGCAGCCGCGGUAAUACGGAGGAUCCGAGCGUUAUCCGGAUUUAUUGGGUUUAAAGGGAGCGUAGGCGGGUGCUUAAGUCAGUUGUGAAAGUUUGCGGCUCAACCGUAAAAUUGCAGUUGAUACUGGGUACCUUGAGUGCAGCGUAGGUAGGCGGAAUUCGUGGUGUAGCGGUGAAAUGCUUAGAUAUCACGAAGAACUCCGAUUG